rnacentral:rRNA from 1 species
GACGAACGCUGGCGGCGUGCCUAAUACAUGCAAGUAGAACGCUGAAGAGAGGAGCUUGCUCUUCUUGGAUGAGUUGCGAACGGGUGAGUAACGCGUAGGUAACCUGCCUGGUAGCGGGGGAUAACUAUUGGAAACGAUAGCUAAUACCGCAUGAUAUUAAUUGUCGCAUGAUAAUUAAUUGAAAGAUGCAAUUGCAUCACUACCAGAUGGACCUGCGUUGUAUUAGUUAGUUGGUGAGGUAACGGCUCACCAAGGCGACGAUACAUAGCCGACCUGAGAGGGUGAUCGGCCACACUGGGACUGAGACACGGCCCAGACUCCUACGGGAGGCAGCAGUAGGGAAUCUUCGGCAAUGGGGGGAACCCUGACCGAGCAACGCCGCGUGAGUGAAGAAGGUUUUCGGAUCGUAAAGCUCUGUUGUAAGAGAAGAACGGGUGUGAGAGUGGAAAGUUCACACUGUGACGGUAUCUUACCAGAAAGG